rnacentral:rRNA from 1 species
AGUGAACGCUGGCGGUAGGCCUAACACAUGCAAGUCGAACGGCAGCACAGUAAGAGCUUGCUCUUACGGGUGGCGAGUGGCGGACGGGUGAGGAAUACAUCGGAAUCUACUUUUUCGUGGGGGAUAACGUAGGGAAACUUACGCUAAUACCGCAUACGACCUACGGGUGAAAGCAGGGGAUCUUCGGACCUUGCGCGAUUGAAUGAGCCGAUGUCGGAUUAGCUAGUUGGCGGGGUAAAGGCCCACCAAGGCGACGAUCCGUAGCUGGUCUGAGAGGAUGGUCGGCCGCCCUGGAACUUGGACACGGUCCAGACUCCUACGGGAGGCAGCAGUGGGGAAUAUUGGACAAUGGUCGCAAGCCUGAUCCAGCCAUACCGCGUGGGUGAAGAAGGCCUUCGGGUUGUAAAGCCCUUUUGUUGGGAAAGAAAAGCAGCAGGUUAAGACCCCGCUGUUCUGACGGUACCCAAAGAAUAAGCACCGGCUAACUUCGUG